UACGUAGGGGGCUAGCGUUGUCCGGAAUCAUUGGGCGUAAAGAGCGUGUAGGCGGCCCGGUAAGUCCGCUGUGAAAGUCGGGGGCUCAACCCUCGAAUGCCGGUGGAUACUGUCGGGCUAGAGUGCAGAAGGGGCAACUGGAAUUCUCGGUGUAGCGGUGAAAUGCGUAGAUAUCGAGAGGAACACCUGCGGCGAAGGCGGGUUGCUGGGCUGACACUGACGCUGAGGCGCGAAAGCUAGGGGAGCGAACGGG
rnacentral:rRNA from 1 species